UACAGAGGGUGCAAGCGUUAAUCGGAAUUACUGGGCGUAAAGCGUGCUUAGUCGGUUAUCUAAGUCGGAUGUGAAAUCCCCGGGCUCAACCUGGGAAUUGCAUUCGAUACUGGAUAGCUAGAGUUCGGCAGAGGGAAGUGGAAUUUCGGGUGUAGCGGUGAAAUGCGUAGAUAUCCGAAGGAACAUCAGUGGCGAAAGCGACUUCCUGGACCAGAACUGACGAUCAGGCACGAAAGCGUGGGGAGCAAACAGG
rnacentral:rRNA from 1 species